rnacentral:rRNA from 1 species
GACGAACCGUCCAAACGUUAUUCGGAAUCACUGGGCUUACAGAGUUCGUAGGCGGUCUGGAAAGUUGGGUGUGAAAUCCCUCGGCCUAACCGAGGAACUGCGCUUGAAACUACCAGACUCGAGGGAGAUAGAGGAAAGCGGAACUGAUGGUGGAGCGGUGAAAUGCGUAGAUAUCAGGAGGAACACCGGUGGCGAAGGCGGGUCUCUGGGCCGAUACUGACGCUGAGGAGCGAAAGCGUGGGGAGCGAACAGG